CUCCUUGUUCUCGCUAACUGAACCAUAAAAAGUUAAUGAUGAAUAGAGAUUCUCUCCCUCCUAAUGUUUGGUAUAGGCAUUUGAGCAGUGCAAACCAGUAAACCACACCUGGAGGAAGCGCAUACAAGUCCAUGAUACAUAAUUGACUUUGCAUAUAAACGGGUUUAUGUUGCGAAAGUGAAUGAUGUAUUUUAAUUUUAAUAUUAACGCAUCAUGAGAAUGAACUUCAGAAAGCAUCAUUUCGAUCCAAAAUCAAGAUUUGCUUUAGCUGAGGCCACCCAAAAUACCCCAUACGACUCACACAAUCUUGACGCAUCACAGGACGGUUAGAAUAUAUCGCACUUCUAAUCACUCACCCAAGCUCGUUUGACACCACAUAAUAUACUGGAUAGGAUUUCAGCAACAUGUCACAUCGGAAUUUGGAUCGGCUCUUCAUCUACUACUCAAAUAUACAUGUACAACAAAAACGUAAUGUUCAUAGCAAGUAAAGUAUAUGCCGGAGCAUCACAUGUUUGCUGUGGUUUCCUUAAUCUCCUCCAUAGAAAUCGCCUGCGAAGCAAAAGGCAGAAGACUCGCCUUAGUAGCAGAUAUAAUUGCAAAACAGACACUUAAGGCAGUUAUGAGGCACGGACAGCAUAUAAUAGUAACCUUUCUUUUACCAAUACUCCUAGAGGCUGAUAUACCAAGGGUAGAGUAAGCAAACUGAUGCUAUCAUAUGCCAUUAUUAAAAAUCUAUUGCCAAUUGCGGCUCCCAUUUUCUCUUAUCAAAUGAUCCCCUCAUUAUUAUUAACCCACAUGACCAGUAGUGACCCACCCCAGUAGAUACCCACUCUCCUCUCAAGGUAGCCAAAAGAGCAAAGAGGAAAUGAGCGACUAACUAAAUACCCAACCUAAGAAGGUAAUUAGAAACCAAGCUUCGCCAUAUUUGCAUUUGAUAUACCUGUUCUUCUCCAGCAAAAUCAUUAUCAGGGGUGAGAAAAAGCAUGCAGUGGCACUCCUUCCUGUAAUGCAAGUUUUAAGAAGGAUGAGAAAGACAGUAAGGCGACAAAAGAAGACUGAUCAAAACGGAACUUAAUUGGAGCUUUUAUAGAUGAUAAAAUACUAAACCAUAACGUCCACGGCUACUUGGAUUGACACAUAGAGCAAAAUGUUUAUGACCAGAUAUAUAUGAUAGCACACGUAAUUGAGCUAGAAACAUUCUUUUUUUUUAUGAGGUAAGAUUAGUUGAGCUAGAAACAUCGAAUGGCAAAGGACACAAAGGCAACAGACAAGUUACCCUUAAAUUCAUGCACCCAUAAGCUGAAAAAUAGAUCUUUAGAAUGCAGGAUAUUGAUUUUUUACUUACAAGAUCUUCUUCUGCUUUUCUUUUUACCCCCAGCAAGCAAAAACGAAGUGUGAUCACCAGAAUACAACAAGUCUAUAGAUACAAGCAAGAGGGGUUGCUCUGAUGGUAAGCAACCCCCACUUCCAACCAAGAUGUUGUGUCGAGUCUCCCCAAGAGCAAGGUGGGAAGUUCUUGGAGGGAAGGAUGCUGGAGGUCUAUUUGGGAAUGGCAAUGGACACAAAAGCAACAGACAAGUUAUCCUUAAAUUCAUGCACCCAUAAGCUGAAUAAUAGAUCUUCAGAAUGCAGAAUACUGAUUUCCUACUUACAAGAUCUUCUUCUGCUUUUCUUUUUACCCCCAGCAAGCAAAAACGAAGUGCGAUCACCAGAAUACAACAAGUAUAUAGAUACAGGCAAAACUCAUUUUACCUCUCUCUCAUUGGUACACAUGGACAAUUCCAGAAGCCCUGCUGUGCUUCUGCAGCUUUGUCAUCAUAAUGCCUGAAAAAUUAAAAUGAUAACAUCAUGGUACAGUUCAUGGUAAUAACGAUUACAAAGGUACUGUAGUAAUGGGUAAGGAGCAAAACAUGAAAACCAUCAGAACAAAUGUGUCAGGAGUGAAUAUUUACCUGCAGGGGCAGAGUGGCGCACCCAGUGUAUCCUUGUGCUCUGCCAAUCCCUAAACAUAUGUCAAAAAAUACCAUUAAUUAAAUCCUAUCCUCGAUGUAAACAUCGAUGUUUCAAUAAGGAAUAUAGGAACCACUGGGUGUUGGACUAAGACAUCCUAACAAGAGCAGCACUAAACUAUAAACCACCUAUGCUCCACGUAAAUGGAACCUAAGAUUAUUAAGUUUUCAAAGACACAAAUGAAUGUCUUUCACUUGUGCAUAAAUCAGGCAACCUCAACACUUAUCAUUCUUUUUUUUUUGUGUGUUUGUGUGUUGGGGGUUUUGGGGGGGGGGGGGGGGGGGGAAUUUUUUAGGGGUUUUUUUUUUUUUUUUUAAAAAAAAAANNNNNNNNNNNNUAAAUUUGUACAGGUCUUUUUUUUCUUUUUGAAAAAAAAAACAAUUACUAUCAAAAAGACAAAGUACGUGUCUCUGUAGCAAAAAUUACUUUUCAAGGAUAAAGAUAUUCUGAUUAGUCGUAGUAUUCUGUGAACCUAGACUUGGGUCUUAAAAAUGACUAAUAUUCUUUCGUCUCCUCAAGAUUAUUAAUAGUUACAACGUCUCUGUAUGCAGAUUCAUUCAUGCUUAGCCUACAGACUUAUUAAAUAUCUUCUCGAUUCAAAUUUCUAAAAGGUGAUAUUUCUGUUCUUUGUAGAGCAACAUUGUUUAGAAAACUUUGUAAGACAAAAAGCAUCCAACACCGAAAGGGAGAAGUCAUAAUGGCUAUCGAAUAAUCAAAUAAAACCAAUCCUACAACUACAAGCUAUCAAACUAAUAAACGAUACUCCUAAGGCAAGUUCCAUUACAUGCUUGGAAACAUCCUUAUGUUUUGAUGCUCUAUAAAAACGCAAGAGGAUACUUACCACAACUGCAUAUAAAUUUCACUUCUUUCCAUUGAGAAGUGUGCUUUCCAUAGGUUACUUUUGGUGUGGCUGAGGCUCUAAAAUCAUUUUUUUUUUAUUUUGGAUUUAACUUCCCAUUCACCUUGGUUGCUGCUAAAUGCUAAGUAUUAUUUUUGACAUUUUAUUGCUAUCAUUGUUGUUAUUUAUUCGGGGGUAGCUAUUCUGUUCAAUAGGUAAAUCAUGGGUGUAACCCAACACAACCAAGAACACCAAGAGGAUCCUCAACUACCCCAACACAAUCUAGACGAGCACCCUUCCAUGUCAUAAAAAGACUUCUCCUUAUCCACUCCCUUGCCCGGUUGAUAUUGAGCUUCUAGUGUUCAUAGCUCUCCUUCAACACAAUAGCUUUUCCUUGGUUUGCAAUCACACUACAACUUCCUCGUGGCUCUUCAUAAAGAAAGGAUUGCAUUUCAUCAUGUUCCACCUUAAAAUAAGGACACCAUGUUUGAUCGAUCUUUGAGAUUGGCCUCUGUCCGAUCUAUUAAGUCCCCCACUGUCAUUUUUCUUUGAAACAACUGCGAUAUAUCCUAUUCAUCUAUCUUGGUUAUGAGAUGAUAAAAAUUUUACUCACAUUAUCAUAAUUUCUCAACUUUUAUUCCCUUCUUUGAGCCAAAAUUGGCAUUUUAUAUAUUAAGCUCUUCUUUUCCAUUGUUCUCUGUUUUUAUUUUCCCUCUUACACAUCUCAUAUAUUACAUAACUAGACGUUAUACUGUUGUUCUCUCUUAUCCUCAUUUUAUGUCAUAAGAUAUCCCCUUGGUUCAAGGAUUUCCACAUCUUGAAGCUCCAAAUUUAAAUUUAUACGGUCGCCAAUCAACUUAGAAACAUGCUUCCAUAAGAUACACAAAAAUACACCCCAACCUAAAAUAUACUAACUGAGAGAUACCUGGGAAAAAGCAACCACCUAUUCAAUCUUUAAAACCAAGGUAGCACAUUGACAUGAAAAUUAUUAUUUCUACAGUAAUUUACCAGCUGACAAAUAAAUACCACAAGUUGAAGUAGCGAAUUUGACAUUGACCCUCUCUAUUAGUUGCUAAUCAGGUCACAAAAUCAUAGAGCAAAUAAUAAAACAACAUUAAUAUGCUAUUGAAGACAGCUUUCACGGAGAGUAGAGACUAAAGGCCCUUGUCGCAAAUUCAAUCUCUAAGACACAAUCUCAGUAAGUGAAAUAGAGAAGAUUAAUCAUUUGCCACACCUAGGGAUAAAAAUAGGAAAAUAUGAUAUGAAACACACGCAAAAGUCAUAAACAUACAAGUGCAUAUAGGAAAUGCAGAACAGAGGUUAUUGGUAUAGCAGCUGCAAGCAAUCGAAUGAUCAUUAAAAUAAAUGUGAAAGGGAAACGAAAGUACCUUGAUGACCACAGAAGUCACGCCUUUGUCCAUGCAGAAAUAUGUUCCUGACCUGCGAGCAUACUGCUCCGAGAAUUUCCUCAUGAUUUCGACAGAUUUCUCUGAUGGUUCCACUAUAUAUGCAAACCACGCCGAAGAAAUUAGUUAUUUCAGUAAAAUUGAUAGCUUAAACUUGUACUAAAUUUGUUGAUUUUAUGUUAAUAAUCAAAUUUUGAUGUAGCUGAAUGGAGGCCUUAUUUUCAUUUUACGGAAAAAUCACAAGUAAAUUUAUAGAUGCUUAUCUGCCGUGAUUAAAAAUGAGUCUUCAAGAUCUAUAUGAAACAUUCUAAACUCGAAACUAAAAUGUGAAGCAAAAAUUUAAAGACUCGAGGCAGUUUUUAACAUCAAAUGUCUCCAAGGAUCCAAUUCCAGGAGCUUAUCAUCAUAAACAAACUAAUAAUUCAAAAAUCGAAAACAAAAAUAUGCAACAGAAAGGAAAUGAGAAGAAAUAAUGACUGUGAAGCUGAAAAAUGGUUACUUUUAGCUACGGUGACGUCGCGACGAGUAGAAGGCUUAGGAAGAGUAGCAAAAGAUGAAAUCCCAAAGCCGACGCUGUAGGAGGGGGACGCUUGAAGAGUUCUCAUGGCGUAAAUCGGCAGGUAAUCGCUUCGUGCUGUAUUUUUCAGUGCUAGUUUUCGAUCGAGUCAAAGUAGGAUUCUGUGAACCACCACAGUCCACAAAUUAGGAAGGAAAAAGAUCUCUCUCGUA
rnacentral:lncRNA from 1 species